GGUUGGGCGUAAGCUUUCAAGGACUAUUUCUUCUAGGGCGAGAAGAA
rnacentral:ncRNA from 2 species